AUGAGGAACUGCUUUGUGUCAUUGACGGGAACUGCGACGACGGUGCCCUCGACCUCUCAGUGCGAGGGCAAGAUCCUCCAGUCAGAAGAUUUCAGGCGCUUCGCCUUCAAGGAGCUCAAGAGGGCCACCAUGAACUUCUGGCCGGAUGGCUUGCUCAGUGACGGCCACUUUGGGUCAGUGCACAAAGGCUGGGUGAACGAGGCUACCUUCGCCCCGGCCAGCUGGGGCACCGGCAUGCCCAUCACCGUCAAGAAGCUCAACCAGGGAAGCGUCCAGGGCCACAUGGAAUGGCUGGUCGGUGCUUCUCAGUACCAAUCAAUCCCAAUUCAUUCAUCUCUUCAAUUCUGCAUAUAUGCUGAAGUGAAAUACCUUGGCCAAUUGUCGCACCCCAAUCUGGUGAAGCUCCUAGGCUACUGCAAUGAAGACCGUUCUCAGUGUCUUCUUGUCUACGAGUUCCUGCCACAGGGGAGCUUGGAGAACCAUCUUUUUAGGAGGGGCUUACAUUUCCAGCCACUGUCAUGGCAUCUGAGGAUGAAGGUAGCUCUUGGGGCAGCCAAGGGGCUCGCGUUUCUCCAUAGCGGCAAUGUCCCUGUCAUCCAACAUGAAUUCAAUACAUCAAAUGUUCUUCUCGAUUCCAGCUACAAUGCAAAGCUGUCUGAUUUUGGGUUGGCGAGGAUGGAACCGAUGGAUGAUCUGAGCACAGAUGUACAUGCAGCCCCUGAAUAUGUUGAUACAGGGCAUCUGACGAUGAAGAGCGACGUGUACAGCUUCGGUGUGGUGCUGCUGGAGAUUCUAGCAGGCCGGCCAGCCCUAGACAAGAACCGGCCCUCCAUCGAGCAUAACCUGGUGGAAUGGGCGCGGCAGUACCUGACGAGCGAGCGCCGCAUCUCUCACAUCAUGGACGCGCAGCUCGGCGGCCAGUACUCCCUCGCCUGUGCGCAUAAGGCUGCCACACUGGUGCUCCAAUGCAUCUCGGUCCACCCAAGAGACCGACCGGGCAUGGAGCAGGUGGUGGCGGCACUGGAGCAGCUCCAGGACACCAAUGAGACUGGGGCGAGCGGUCAGAGUGAUGUACGGCUGGGUAUGGAGCAGGUGGUGGCGGUGCUGGGGCAGCAGCUUCAGGACGACAAGGAGACCGUGGCAAGCGGUCAGCAGAAGGUGAGUGGUGGUGGUGGCGGUGCCUGUGGCUUCUUCAGGAUGUGUGGCGGUGGCCGGCAGUAG
rnacentral:rRNA from 1 species